ACUCCUACGGGAGGCAGCAGUGGGGAAUAUUGGACAAUGGGCGCAAGCCUGAUCCAGCAAUGCCGCGUGGGUGAAGAAGGCCUUCGGGUUGUAAACUUCUUUUAUGAGUGAAGAAUAUGACGGUAACUCAUGAAUAAGCACCGGCUAACUACGUGCCAGCAGCCGCGGUAAU
rnacentral:rRNA from 1 species